CCUACGGGAGGCAGCAGUGGGGGAUAUUGCACAAUGGGGGAAACCCUGAUGCAGCGACGCCGCGUGGGCGAAGAAGUAUUUCGGUAUGUAAAGCCCUAUCAGCAGGGAAGAAGAAAUGACGGUACCAGAGUAAGAAGAACCGGCUAAAUACGUGCCAGCAGCCGGGGUAACACGUAGGGUGCAAGCGUUAUCCGGAGUUACUGGGGGUAAAGGGAGCGCAGGCGGCACGGCAAGCCUGAUGUGAAAGCCCGGCGCCCAACCGCGGGACUGCAUUGGGAACAACCGGGCUGGAGUGCCGGAGAGGUAGGCGGAAUUCCUAGUGUAGCGGUGAAAUGCGUAGAUAUUAGGAGGAACACCAGUGGCGAAGGCGGCCUACUGGACGGUAACUGACGCUGAGGCUCGAAAGCGUGGGGAGCAAACAGGAUUAGAUACCCUUGUAGUC
rnacentral:rRNA from 1 species